UGGUUUUCCUUUGUGCCUGUACCUUUCUCCCUAAUGCCUGAGUACCUGCUGGGGGGUGGGCUGGAGAGCAGGGAACGUGGCUAUCUCCUGGGAUCUAUCCUUCAGGUCAUUCCCUCCAGGAUGUGGGCAUUCACAUGCAGGAUGGGUUGGGCUGCCUUGAGAAUUAAUUGCCACUAGCCCACAGCUGUGCUGGGAGUGGAGCAGGAGAGCCUGGCAGUGGGGCAGAGCUGGCAAGCCUGUGGGGACUCCUUCCAAGAACGCAGGGACCAUGAGGACUAGAGAAGCUCCACCUCUGGCCUAGAGAGAAAUGUCCUAACCCCAGCCUUCCAAGAACUGCCCAAGGAUUUCCCCGGACCUUCCAUUCGUAUUGUGGGGAGCAGCUGCAGACAACUCUCAUCACCCUCCUGCAGGAAGCCAGAAGAACUUUCAAGCAUCACUCAUAGAGAACGGGGUGCCUCUGGGAAGAGGAGACGAGGUACUCGUCCCUGGUUGAAAGUCACUCAUCUUCCUUCAGUGCCUGUUUAGGUGGAGGAAAGGAGAAACAGAAAGAGGUGCCAGAAAGGAUAGCCCAGCAGGGAAACUUCUUCAACUCCCUCCAAAGGGUUUAUAGCAAGUCACGUAGACACCGAGGAGGAGCGUGGCAAUUUUCCAGCAACUUAGAUAUCAGCAACUCAUCU